rnacentral:rRNA from 1 species
AUGGCUCUGCACGACAACUUCUGGACUUCCCAGGUGGACAUUCUUCGGGGCCUCACCGUCGAACACCUCUCUGAGAUUGACACUCUUUGGGAGAAGGUCUCCCAUAUCCACCUCGACAUCGACACGCCCGACACUAUCACUUGGAAGUUCCCCACUGAUGGACACUACUCGGCGACGUCGGCCUACAAGGCGCAGUUCUUUGGCCAUACUGACACGGCCAUGAUACCAACCGUUUGGAAGGUUUGGGCGCUUCCUAAAUGCAAAUUCUUCGCUUGGUUGGCAAUCAACAACAGGAUUUGGACGGCGGACAGGCUUGAGCGUCGUGGGUGUCCAAACUGUAACCUUUGUCCCCUAUGUAAGCAGGUGCAGGAGUCGGCGGCCCACCUUCUAUUCCAAUGCGGACACACUAUCAGAGUUUGGUGCAUGAUCAAAGAUUGGUUGGGUCUCCAUGAUGUGCAUCCUUCUGAUUGGAUUGACGCGACUUCCAUUAAAGAGUGGUGGAGCCACAAUGCUACCAAGAAGACCCAAUCGCGAAGGCCACUUGCUUCCUUGAUGCUUCUUAUCUCUUGGGAGUUGUGGAAUGAGAGGAAUGCACGGAUCUUUCGUAAUAAUGCCGUCCCAGUUGGAGUCAUCGUCGCUAGGAUUAAAGAGGAAAUGUCGCUUUGA